CCUACGGGAGGCAGCAGUAGGGAAUCUUUCACAAUGGGCGAAAGCCUGAUGGAGCAACGCCGCGUGCAGGAUGAAGGCCUUCGGGUUGUAAACUGCUUUUAUAAGCGAGAAAUAUGAUGGUAACUUAUGAAUAAGGAUCGGCUAACUACGUGCCAGCAGCCGCGGUCAUACGUAGGAUCCGAGCAUUAUCCGGAGUGACUGGGUGUAAAGAGUUGCGUAGGUGGCAUAAUAAGUAGCUAGUGAAAUCGGGUGGCUCAACCAUUCAGACUAUUAGCUAAACUGGUAAGCUCGAGACCGUUAGGGGUAACUGGAAUUUCUAGUGUAGGAGUGAAAUCCGUAGAUAUUAGAAGGAACACCAAUAGCGUAGGCAGGUUACUGGGACGGUUCUGACACUAAGGCACGAAAGCGUAGGGAGCAAACGGGAUUAGAUACCCUAGUAGUC
rnacentral:rRNA from 1 species